AAAAUUAUUUAGUGACUUUUAGGGACCAAAAAAAUUAACACGUAUGUUCACUUAGACACUUGACCCGCGUGUUUGAGGUGGGUAAAAGUUGGAGACGAAUUAGUUUGGUUGCUAAAGGUUGUCAAAUACGCGAUAUAAGAAUCGAUCUUCACUAGGACUUAAUCGAUCUCAGCUGUUUACUCUGUCUAGGACUCAAUCGAUCUUCAACUUCGAUAGAUCUUUAGCUUCAAUCUGAAUCGAUCUUUGUGCCGCCUCAUAUCCGAAUCGAUCUUUACUUCAAUCGGAAUCCAUCUUUGUACUGAUCUCAACUUCAAUCGAUCUUACCUAUUGUAACUUUAAUCCGAAUCGAUUAAGAUCUCAGCUUCAAUCCGAAUCGAUCGUUGAAGAUCUGAGUUCUUUGGCUUCAAUCGAAAGAUAUAUAUAAGUUUGAGUAAAUGGAUUUGGUUUCUAACAGAGAUCGUAGUAAUUUGGAUUCAACAGCGAUUUGGCUGGAAGAAAGCAGUUAAGGCACAUGUAGUGAUUAUUAUCUCAACUAUUUUCAUGGGUAUUAGUUGAAAUCCGUGAAUGGUUAUGACUUCAAAUGACAGCCCUUGGAGGGGAGGGGGAAGUCUAACCCCAAUGGUUAUCUACUGUAUUAUUUCAAUUCAAAUCCUCUCUGCCCUUAGAUCUCACGCUGCUGCAAUAAGGAUUGUAGGAGAAUUACGUGCCCUGUUCUCUGUACACUUUUUAUCUGGCAGCGCUUGAAAGUCAACCCAAUUUUGUAUUUUGUAGGUUUAUUACCGAUUUCUGUCCAGUAGCUGAAAUGGAGCUUUGGACCCUGUGAGAUUACUGAUAAAUGAUUGAGAAGAUGGCUUCGACAAUGCUCUCUCUUGCCUCAGCUUCGGCAAGAUAAUCGCAAGCAACUAAACUAGAACAUUAAGGCUAUGUUCGGGAACAUGCUAAAUUAGCCAAAAAGGUUGAACACUGACUUAAUGAACUUUGUGAAGAAUUGAGUGAACGUCUUCAUUCUAACCUGGAGUAGAAUAAGCAAAUUGCACAUACACUCACUUUGCAUGCUAGAGCUUUCAAGGUAUAUGGCAUAUAUUAUGAACACUAAUGAUGAGGAGAAAGUUAAGGAUUUUCAUCCUUUCUCUAUGGCUAUAGACGGUGAUAAGCUUUUGUGAUCGUGGAACAACUAGGGCAUGUUGCUCUUGUAACUGAACUUGUGAAGAGGUGGGUACGAGAGAAAGACAAAGUUGAAGUCGUCAUAGAGUUCUAACUCAUACAAUGUUGAACUAUUUUGAUCUUAUUUUGGGAUUUAACUCAUAUAAUGAACUAUGUUGAAGUGAAUUUGGAUACUUAAAGUUUUGAUUUUUGUAAUUUGUUUUUUGUAUAUACAUGAAUAGAUUUGAUCUUGUGAGUUUUUUUUAUCUUU